GUAUUGGUGGCUCAGUGGUAGAAUUCUUACCUUCCAUGCAGGAGACCUGGGUUCGAUUCCCCACCAAGGCA
rnacentral:tRNA from 1 species